rnacentral:ncRNA from 2 species
AAAGGUCUUCGGGGCAAGGUGAAAUUCCUUACCGGCAGUAAAGUCUGCGAGCGGAGCCGAAGCGGAGAGUUUCGGCGCGUUGAACCGGUGUGAUUCCGGUACCGACGGUUAGAGUCCGGAGGAGAGAAGAUUUUG